UUAUAUCUCUUAAGUGAAUAUUUUUUCCAUUUCAAAAGGGCAAAAGAUCUCGCGCCUCCCUAGAAUCUCUAUGGAUAUAUUAGUUUAGGGUUUCUUGCUUCAGCACCUUUGAUGAAUCUGCGGAAGUGUUUCUACACCUUCUUAGAUACCCAAGUUGCAAUAGUAAGUCAUGUUGCAAGGCAGUGCAUGAUUUUGAGAGGCUAAAAUCAUCUAUAUUCUUCUGGUUGAGGUCAUCCUCCGAGUCUUGAAAAG